rnacentral:sRNA from 1 species
GCAAGGAACAAGUAGCGCGCUCCAGCGAUUAUCUCGAUGGCCAGUUGAGCUUUCGCGAGAGACUGUUGGUGCGCCACCACCUGAUGUUCUGCCCCAACUGUCGGCGUUUCAUUCGCCAGAUGCGUUUGAUGCAGGCCACAUUGAAGGCGAUGCCGGAGAAAACCGAGGCGGGUAUUGACGCUUUGGCCGAACGCCUGGCCGAGCAACGCCGCAAAGAAAAAUAGAGCCCCCUGUAGGAGCUGCCGGAGGCUGCGAUCUUUUGAUCUUGUUUUCAAGGAUCAAAAGAU